UGCAGUCGAACGAUGAAGYAUUCUUCGGAAURYGGAAGAGUGGCGAACGGGUGAGGAACACGUAAGAAUCUGCCCCUCGGUCGGGGACAACUCUUGGAAACGAGAGCUAAUACCCGAUACGCUGUGGAGUGAAAGAAUUUCGCCGAGGGAUGAUCUUGCGUCUGAUUAGCUAGUUGGUGUGGUAAUGGCAYACCAAGGCGACGAUCAGUAGCUGGUCUGAGAGGAUGRACAGCCACAUUGGAACUGAGACACGGUCCAAACUCCUACGGGAGGCRGCAGUGGGGAAUUUUCCGCAAUGGACGMAAGUCUGACGGAGCGACGCUGCGUGAAGGAUGACGGCCYGCGGGUUGUAAACUUCUUUUCUCGAAGAAGAARCWMUGACGGUAUUCGAGGAAUAAGCAUCGGCUAACUCCGUGCCAGCAGCCGCGGUAAKACGGAGGAUGCAAGUGUUAUUCGGAAUGAUUGGGCGUAAAGMGUCUGUAGGCYGUAUAGARAGUCUUUUGUUAAAUGCCUCGGCUCAACCGAGAUCCAGCAAAGGAAACUUCUAUACUUGAGGGAAGUAGAGGUACAGGGAAUUCCCGGUGGAGCGGUGAAAUGCGUAGAUAUCGGGAGGAACACCAAUAUGGCGAAGGCACUGUACUGGGCUUUACCUGACGCUSAGAGACGAAAGCUAAAGGAGUGAUUAGGAUUAGAUACCCUAGUAAUUUUAGCCGUAAACGAUGGAAACUCACUGCCGAGCGAAAUACAACGAGCGGUGGUCAAGCUAACGCGUGAAGUUUCCCGNCUGGGGAUUACGCUUGCAAAAGUGAAACUCAAAGGAAUUGACGGNGACCCGCAC
rnacentral:rRNA from 1 species